GGUCAGCUCUGCCUCCUCUGGGAAGGGCUGAGUUCUGGAGCAGCUGAUGGCUGAGCCACCAAAGCCUGAAGGAAGAGACAAAGUCAAGAGUCACCAGGCUAUACACGAUGUGUUCCUGCCUCCUACAGCCCGGAGAGCAUCCCACUUGUUUGUUCAUAUCUGUGUGGUUAGAGUCUGUCUCCCCCACAACGACAUUCAUCUUGGUUACUUCCUGGUGCUCAGGGUACGAGCAGUGCCACACACACAGGUGGCAGAACUGCAAAGCUGCAAGAGACCCGGGAAACCAAACCAGCUAGGACCUGCCUGGUCCAGAGAAGGUGUUCUCAUCCCACUGGCUGGCUUUCCCUUGCUGAGGUGCAUCCUCCUCCAGAGGGUGCACUGACUUCCCAGGUGAAGCUAAGAGCCCCACUGUGCAUUCCUACAUGCCUCAUCCCAUAGUGCUUCCAAGCCUUCUCCUACCCCUAAGUCUUUAGAAUUUUCCCAAGAUCAGAUUAAUUUGCAACAUAAACCUCAGGCUCGCCUGUGUUGUGAAGAUACCUGGACGCCAAUGUCACAGACGGCCACUCAGUCUGUAGACCAAGCAGGACUCACAAGCCACUGUGUGGUCAUGAGUGUCAGCACUUUUGAGAAGGCCAAUUCAGGCAACACGUACUGUGUUUAGCACCUGUUGAGAACCUACUGUGUGCAGACCGUGUUCUAGGUUUGGAUGGGACAUAGUGAGGAUGGCAAUCAUUCCCCUGCAUCUGUAUAUAGUUCCUGGGGAUGGUCCCUCAAACUUUUAGCAGGAGAUCGGGCCCAGACUAGUUUACCUUCAGUGACAACUGUUUCCCAGAGGUCAGCACAUAGUAGGCGCUUGAUGAAUAACAAUUUGUUUCCCUGAGAGGCUGGGGAAGCUUGCAUGACUAGGGUGAGGCCAAGAGGGUAAAUUAAGAGCCGGAUAUUGUU